UAAUAAGUGUUUUAUGGCACUUUUUAAAUCCAUAUCCACCUUGUGUGCAAUGUCAGUCGAUCUUCUUCAUGGAGAUCGACUCAAACAUCAACCUUUAUCUUUUAACUCUUUGUCUUAAAAAUAUUAUGAAUAAACAAUUCAAAAUA
rnacentral:misc_RNA from 1 species